UGGGCCUUCAAAAACUGACAUGUAUUACCAACAUUUUCCAAGGGUUGAUCCAUGUUGCACUUGACUUCAGUAAAGCAAAGAUAAUGGGUGGCAAAAUUAUGUGCAGGGAUUGUUCAGAUGAUUUCUUCAUCAUCCUGUGCCUAGGCACAGUAUCAACAUUUGGAGAGACUUGGAAAAUUAUAUAGGCACUGACGCGUUUCUUAAC
rnacentral:misc_RNA from 1 species